rnacentral:rRNA from 1 species
UACGAAGGGGGCUAGCGUUGCUCGGAAUCACUGGGCGUAAAGCGCACGUAGGCGGAUUGUUAAGUCAGGGGUGAAAUCCUGGAGCUCAACUCCAGAACUGCCUUUGAUACUGGCGAUCUUGAGUCCGGGAGAGGUGAGUGGAACUGCGAGUGUAGAGGUGAAAUUCGUAGAUAUUCGCAAGAACACCAGUGGCGAAGGCGGCUCACUGGCCCGGUACUGACGCU